GCCGGCGUAGCUCAGUUGGCAGAGCAGCGGACUUUUAAUCCGAAGCGCCUGGGUUCGAGUCCCAGCGCCGGCA
rnacentral:tRNA from 1 species